AGCGAACGCUGGCGGCAGGCCUAACACAUGCAAGUCGAACGGUAGCACAGAGAGCUUGCUCUCGGGUGACGAGUGGCGGACGGGUGAGUAAUGUCUGGGAAACUGCCUGAUGGAGGGGGAUAACUACUGGAAACGGUAGCUAAUACCGCAUAACGUCGCAAGACCAAAGAGGGGGACCUUCGGGCCUCUUGCCAUCAGAUGUGCCCAGAUGGGAUUAGCUAGUAGGUGGGGUAACGGCUCACCUAGGCGACGAUCCCUAGCUGGUCUGAGAGGAGGACCAGCCACACUGGAACGGAGACACGGUCCAGACUCCUACGGGAGGCAGCAGUGGGGAAUAUUGCACAAUGGGCGCAAGCCUGAUGCAGCCAUGCCGCGUGUAUGAAGAAGGCCUUCGGGUUGUAAAGUACUUUCAGCGGGGAGGAAGGUGUUGUGGUUAAUAACCACAGCAAUUGACGUUACCCGCAGAAGAAGCACCGGCUAACUCCGUGCCAGCCGCCGCCGUAAGAC
rnacentral:rRNA from 1 species